rnacentral:lncRNA from 1 species
UAAAGCAGAAAGCUAAAAUUCGGCCUCCUCUCUAUAGAAUCCGGGUUUGGCGCAUAAAGUUGUGCUGAUUUGUUUUCUUAUCUUUUUUUCAUCUCUGUGGAGAGUUUAUGUAGAUCUUGGAUCACUGGACAUUGAAGAAUUGCUAUUGAUCACUUUGUGAAGUCGCUUGAGGAUCGUGGAUCAAGAGGGUUAGCAAUUAUUCAAGAGAAGCAGAUUCAGUCUAAGGUUGAGUAAAUUAUAUAGUGAUAAACUGUAAGUGAGAGUCUUAAAUUUGGUAAAUUCAUAAGUUGUAACAUCUCAACUUAGUGAAUUGCUUUUCAUCUGGGCGUGGCCUCGUGGAUGUAGGAUUGAUUAAUCCAAAUCACAUAAAAAUCUCUGUGUCAUUUAUUUUUUGUGAUUUAUUGUGUUUUUGGAAAAUUAAUAUUUUUUAUGCAUAUAAACAGUAAUCA